AACAAGGGUUUACCCUUGUUCUUGCAAAAAUUCACCAAUUGACAAGGAGAAAUCAAAGAUUACUCACUGCAUGUUCUAAAGUUUCAAUCAUCCAAGCAUUUCUAGUGGAGUGGCGUGAAGGAAGAAAGUUCAAAUUCUAAGAAACCGGAAGGAUCACAAGACCGAGGUAAAACUCCACUUUAGGCGAUCUGGAGAUUUAGAGCGAGCACGUGUCCAUGCCUUAUUUUACCAAGCGCUUCCGCUAGUUUAUAUGCUUACUUUUUGGGUCCAUGUCUUGUUAUUUUGUUUAAUCUUGUUAGAAGUCAUACACUUGAAAACUUGUUAUCUUUGUUUGGGGUAGUUUAAUGCUAAUAGGGUCGUAGACGGAUGUUGUCUAUUAUGUUAAAAACAGGGAGCAUGUUCGUUUUACGAACGGGUCAUGCCCAAUUUUUGUAAAAUUUUUAUUAUGUA